GUCUUGGUCCUCAUACUCAAAUUCCUCUGACGAGCUCAUCUGAGCUACAGGAACAUGCAUGACGUCUUGGUCCUCAUACUCAGAUUCCUCUGACGACAGACUGAAGUCAUCGACAGGAGACUGGGUAAAUGUCUGCUCAUGGUGGGUGCUGCAUUCUGGGUUUCCAGGAAACAGCUGCCGUUUAUCAUUCAUCAUGUGCAAAACUGACAAAUGCUCCUUCUCAUGGCCAUUGUCAGUGCCAGCUACAAAUCAAACAGAAAGCACUGACUUUGAGCUGAAGGUUUUCCAAAUGCUUGGGCACAUUUAUCUGUCCUUGUGAGCUUUUCAGUAUAUUCAACAUUUCCAUCUCCCUUCUGGAUCAAAUUCAGCAAAAUGAUUAACAGCUCGUCUGGUCUUUUCCUCUUCGUCGAGGAAGGCAUGAAGCUUCUUAAAUUCAUCCAUAAUCUUAUUCUCUGUGUUGAAGCUCUGAGUCUGCGGGUCACAGUAGAAACUGGUCAUCCUCAUCAUUUCUU